rnacentral:rRNA from 1 species
AGGAACACCAGUGGCGAAGGCGACUCUCUGGUCUGUAACUGACGCUGAGGUGCGAAAGCGUGGGGAGCGAACAGGAUUAGAUACCCUGGUAGUCCACGCCGUAAACGUUGAGUGCUAGGUGUUAGGGGGUUUCCGCCCCUUAGUGCUGAAGUUAACGCAUUAAGCACUCCGCCUGGGGAGUACGGCCGCAAGGCUGAAACUCAAAAGAAUUGACGGGGGCCCGCACAAGCGGUGGAGCAUGUGGUUUAAUUCGAAGCAACGCGAAGAACCUUACCAGGUCUUGACAUCCUCUGACACCCCUAGAGAUAGGGCAUUCCCUUCGGGGACAGAGUGACAGGUGGUGCAUGGUUGUCGUCAGCUCGUGUCGUGAGAUGUUGGGUUAAGUCCCGCAACGAGCGCAACCCUUGAUCUUAGUUGCCAGCAUUGAGUUGGGCACUCUAAGGUGACUGCCGGUGACAAACCGGAGGAAGGUGGGGAUGACGUCAAAUCAUCAUGCCCCUUAUGACCUGGGCUACACACGUGCUACAAUGGAUGGAACAAAGGGCAGCGAAACCGCAAGGUCAAGCAAAUCCCAUAAAACCAUUCUCAGUUCGGAUUGCAGGCUGCAACUCGCCUGCAUGAAGCCGGAAUCGCUAGUAAUCGCGGAUCAGCAUG